GCCUCUUUAGCUCAGGGGCAGAGCGCACCACUUGUAUAAUCAUAUAUAAUGGUGAGGUCCAUGGUUCAAUUCCGUGAAGAGGCA
rnacentral:tRNA from 1 species